rnacentral:lncRNA from 1 species
GGUUCAAGAGACACCCUUUUCUUUUAGCUGUAUUUAUUUGCUGUAUUUCUAUUAUAAAAUUAAGAAUCUGAAAUUCAUCACUAUUUAUUUUCACACCAUGUUUUUCUAGCGGAAAAAAUCAAGACAAACUAUGUAAAGUAAAGACCUUCCUGUAAUAAAGGUAACCACAUCCCUGGGUAUUCUACUCCACCCGAGACAUGUGCGAUAUUUCGUAUUUAUUCAUGUCAAAAUGUUGUCGAGGAAUAUGAAUUUUAAUAUAAAGUUCUGUUUUUUUGCAACUGGUUAAAACACGAACUAAAAUGUCUCUUCUACCCAUACAUAAGAUAUACGACCGACCGAUUUUAGGGGUCAAAGGUCCGUUUACCAACGGGAUCGAUUAUCCGACAUCAAUGUGACUCAAUAAAUGGAUGCCAGUUGAUAAAUUUCCAAUAUAGCUACGUAAAGCAAAAUUCUAAUUCCGCAGUUUUAUACAUUUUCUUUCAACUGUUCAGAGACUAUCAAUCUGAAUAAUCAAUCAAUAUAGAGACUUGAAAUGAAAUUACGGUCGAGUGACAAAUAAGUGAUUAAUAAAAUCUGGA